CAGGUGAUUUACAGGUGAUUAUAAUCGUGCAUUGUGACCAUAACCAUCCUCUUUACUCAUCAUUUCAGCUGCUGCCAUCAGGCAGGAGACUAAAGGUUCCACUAAAGUUAAAGUUUUCUCUUAUCUUAUCUUUAAAAAUAAGGUAAAAUAAAUACAUUAAACAUGCACAAACCUUGAUAUAAAUGAGUGUAUGUUGCUGAAAUGUUUGAUAGUGUUAAGAACAGUUUUAUGGUUUUAAUGUGAACUGAACCUCUGGCUGAAUAUGCAGCAGUAACUGUUAUUAUGUAAGUAAAGCAAUUUUAGCUUUGUUGUUUUUGUUGUUUUUAUUCUCUAUUCAUUAUUAUUUCUCUCACACAGUGUUUACCGGCCGUCUGGUGGCUGUGUGGUGGGGCAGGGCCUGUGGCGCUGGUUCCUGUACUGAGAGAGAGAGUGGGCACAGCGGGCAGAGAGGGCAGUGUGUGGCAUGUCCUGCCAACGGGAUAGUUAAAUUAGAGCUGAGACUCUCUGAUUGGUGGAGGACGUCAGGGGCACAGCCUCUGUCUGGCUGCAGGACCAAGACAUACAGCGGCUUCCACUCGUGGUGGAAGGAGGCGAACAUGGCGGCGGCGGCGGAGUCCGGAGAGAAAGAGGCGGCGGAGGGAUUAACCCGCAGCCCGGAGCAGCGUUCGAGCCCAGGUGAGAUGCGUGAUCCUGAGAGGAGCCGGAGUGCCGGAUCGUCAGAUGAGGGAGACAGUGAUGGAGAUGAUCGGAAGAGAGCUGCAGAGAGGGACAGUCGUCCUCCUGCAGAGAGAGGAGGAGAUGAGGAAGAGGAACCUGGUGAAGCUUCUUCUAGAGAGGAGAGUCCAGAGAAAACCUCCAGACCAGCGUCCGGCGCCGAGUCCGGAGGAUCCGACAGCGACAGCAGUGAGGAGGACAGUGAUGACGGAGCCAAACGCAGGAUGAGGAGCAGCGUCGCUCAUAUCCGGCGCGGAUCCCAGAACGAGAGCAGCAGACCCAGACCAAGGAGUUCCUCCACAGACAGGGAUGGGGGUGGGAGGUCCCGCUCUCGAUCCAGAUCCAGAUCUCCACGCAGUUACUCAGACAGAGGGCGCUGGUGAGCCACAUACCAGUCUAACCAUCAUUUCUAGCCUUCCUUUGUGUUUUUAUAGUGUUUUUUAAAGAUUUAUCGUGUUUAUAUUACAAAAAU
rnacentral:lncRNA from 1 species